CUCAAUAAUAAUAAUAAUAAUAACUUAGCUGGGCAUGGUGGUGUGCACCUAUAGUCCCAGAUACUCAGGAAGCUGAGGUGGGAGGAUGGCUUGAAGCCAGGAGUCCAGGUUGGGCAACAUAGUGAGACCCCAUCUCUACAAAAUAAUUUUUAAAAACUUAGCUGGGCAUGGUGGUGUGUACCUGUAGUCCCAGAUACUCAGGAGGCUGAGGCGGGAGAAUGGCUUGAGGCCAGGAGGUCAAGGCCUGGCCACUGCACUCCAGCCUGUAGGACAGAUCCAGACCCUGUCUCUGAAAAUAAAAAAAAGUUUGUGCUUUAUUUUGAGGAUUUAUGCAAGGAGUGGAGCACCAGAGAAGUAAGGCAGGGGGGACAGUUGGGUGUUUUAUGAAGCUUCCUUUGGCUACUCUGUGAAGGUGGAAAGGAAGGGUCCAGGAAUGGAGGCUGAUAGCCCAGAGGGAGUUGGAGGAGGAACUGUAAGGAGGGGAGGAGAGAGUGGGUGUGAGGAAUGCCUGGG
rnacentral:lncRNA from 10 species